rnacentral:rRNA from 1 species
UACGGGGGGGGCAAGCGUUGUUCGGAAUUACUGGGCGUAAAGGGCCAGUAGGCGGCCAACUAAGUCCGACGUGAAAUCCCAAGGCUUAACCUUGGAACUGCGUCGGAUACUGGAUGGCUUGAAUUCGGGAGAGGGAUGCAGAAUUCCAGGUGUAGCGGUGAAAUGCGUAGAUAUCUGGAGGAAUACCGGUGGCGAAGGCGGUUCUCUGGGCCUUACCUGACGCUGAGGAGCGAAAGCGUGGGGAGCGAACAGG